rnacentral:rRNA from 1 species
GAUGACAGAUUAAAGUAGUUGGUGGGGUAAAGGCCUACCAAGGAGACGAUCUGUAGCUGGUCUGAGAGGACGACCAGCCACACUGGGAAUGAGACACGGCCCAGUCUCCUACGGGAGGCAGCAGUGGGGAAUUUUGGACAAUGGGCGAAAGCCUGAUCCAGCAAUGACGCGUGUGUGAAGAAGGCCUUCGGGUUGUAAAGCACUUUUGUCCGGAAAGAAAUCCUUUGGGUUAAUACCCCAGGGGGAUGACGGUACCGGAAGAAUAAGCGCCGGCUAACUACGUGCCAGCAGCCGCGGUAAUACGUAGGGUGCAAGCGUUAAUCGGAAUUACUGGGCGUAAAGCGUGCGCAGGCGGUCCGAUAAGACAGAUGUGAAAUCCCCGGGCUUAACCUGGGAACUGCAUUUGUGACUGGCGGGCUAGAGUAUGGCAGAGGGGGGUAGAAUUCCGCGUGUAGCAGUGAAAUGCGUAGAGAUGUGGAGGAAUACCGAUGGCGAAGGCAGCCCCCUGGAACAAAA